GAGGGUAUAGCUCAGUGGUAGAGCUCAUGCUUAGCAUGCAUGAGGUCAUGGGUUCAAUCCCCAGUACCUCCA
rnacentral:tRNA from 1 species